rnacentral:rRNA from 1 species
AGUGAACGCUGGCGGUAGGCCUAACACAUGCAAGUCGAACGGCAGCACAGUAAGAGCUUGCUCUUACGGGUGGCGAGUGGCGGACGGGUGAGGAAUACAUCGGAAUCUACUUUUUCGUGGGGGAUAACGUAGGGAAACUUACGCUAAUACCGCAUACGACCUACGGGUGAAAGCAGGGGAUCUUCGGACCUUGCGCGAUUGAAUGAGCCGAUGUCGGAUUAGCUAGUUGGCGGGGUAAAGGCCCACCAAGGCGACGAUCCGUAGCUGGUCUGAGGGGAUGAUCAGCCACACUGGAACUGAGACACGGUCCAGACUCCUACGGGAGGCAGCAGUGGGGAAUAUUGGACAAUGGGCGCAAGCCUGAUCCAGCCAUACCGCGUGGGUGAAGAAGGCCUUCGGGUUGUAAAGCCCUUUUGUUGGGAAAGAAAAGCAGCAGGUUAAUACCCCGCUGUUCUGACGGUACCCAAAGAAUAAGCACCGGCUAACUUCG